UUAUAUAUAUAUAUAAAAACAACGCCCCUCUCACCCUAUGCGGGUGGGUGGUUUCUAUAUAUAUAUAUACACACACACAGCAGCUCUUAAACCCUGAAAUGAAUUUAGCCAGUUUAUAAAGUGGACUGAUGGAUGGAAAUUUACUCAAGUAAAUGUAAAACCCACAAUCCAGUUAAAUCAUUUUAAGAUGUGUAAUUUUUUUUUAAAGUACUCAAAAAAUGUAUCCGAGUAAAUGUUACCACCUCUCCAUAGAACACUGUGCCAAGAUUAGAAUUCUAUUUUUGUUGUAGUUUGAAUAAGUUUAUAGUCAACACCAUCAGCAUCUAUUCUUUUUCUAUUUCUUCCAGGAUCCUCCUACAUUUAACCAACUCCAAUUAUCUUAGUUCAUACUUCUGGGAAGAGUUUGAAAAUCCAUGGCUGAUGGGGAUUUCCCUCUAUCGUAUUCCAUAAAUGACAUCACUAGGCUUGCUAUGCCAAAUAGAAGAACAAUGUGGUCUUUCUUACCUGUCGGAGGGUGUACAUUCCAUCCCUGCUAAACCAAGACUCAAUCCUGCCUCAAAGCCACUUCUGCUUGAGCAGGGCCCUCGCUGCCAUGCUUGCUCUGACUUCCAGGUGCUCCACAUCACACUCCUCAAAUUUUUACUACUUUAGCAGCUUUUUGGAAGCACAUUGUUCUGGCCGGUUCUAAGACAACCAUUUGGCUCACUUUUCUUUAUGUUUCAGCGUUAAAUCUCUUUUUUACCUGUUUUGUUUUUAGAAAACUGGAAUCCAAAUAAUUUACAGUGUUUUGGGGGAAUUUGUAAGCAGCUACCUUUUUCUCAGAGGACAGACAUUUUUUGUGGUGUGUGCCAGACUGUUGGUUUGUGGUUUGUAAUGUGGGCAAAGGGGAAAUUUGGAGGUUGGAGUGCAAGCUUGAGGAUACAAUAGUGUAAAAAAAAGAAAAAAAGAUGGUGUGGGUGCUUUACAGGAAGGUUGCGUUUGUCUGCACAGAGCCAUCCCAUUUAUGCUGGUGGCUGCAGAGAAGCCUAACAGGGAGAGACAGAGUUGAAUAGGACUCAGAGCAAGAGGCCCUGAGCCUUGUACCCUCCUGUACUAUGUUUGAACGGCUCUAACAUUUUUACCUUGUAUUUUUUCACACCAAAAGGAUCCUGCUGAACACCUGAUUUUAUUUUUAAUUUUUACCUAUCAACUGUUGAAGAUGCGGAGAUUCUUGCUCAGGUACGUUCUUCUCUUAGUACUUUUGUGUUGACACUGCACACUUCUUAGGAAGACUGGUGACUGAUGAUGCUUUUAAUAAGUUCCAGCAAAAAAAAACACACAGAGUUUCAGAAAUGUUAAGCUAGAAUUAAACCCUAAUAACACAUGAAUAAAUACAUACAAAACAUGGUUUUGAAUACAUUUGAAAUGAAUAUAACUUAUAACAACAUGCUCACCCGGUUUAAAAGGCGUACUCUUCAAAGUACCUUUCAAGUAUUUUGUAAAAGUAUGUAGUUCGUUUUGCCUGUACAAAAAAACACAAU
rnacentral:lncRNA from 1 species